AGCGAACGCUGGCGGCAGGCUUAACACAUGCAAGUCGAACGCCCCGCAAGGGGAGUGGCAGACGGGUGAGUAACACGUGGGAACGUACCCUUUGGUUCGGAAUAACUUGGGGAAACUCAAGCUAAUACCGGAUAAGCCCUUAUGGGGAAAGGUUUACUGCCGAAGGAUCGGCCCGCGUCUGAUUAGCUAGUUGGUGAGGUAAUGGCUCAACAAGGCGACGAUCAGUAGCUGGUCUGAGAGGAUGAUCAGCCACACUGGGACUGAGACACGGCCCAGACUCCUACGGGAGGCAGCAGUGGGGAAUAUUGGACAAUGGGGGCAACCCUGAUCCAGCCAUGCCGCGUGAGUGAUGAAAGCCUUAGGGUUGUAAAGCUCUUUUACCCGGGACGAUAAUGACAGUACCGGGAGAAUAAGCCCCGGCUAACUUCGUGCCAGCCGCCGCAGUAA
rnacentral:rRNA from 1 species